rnacentral:lncRNA from 10 species
CAUGAGGCUCUGGACUCUCCAGUGGGUUCAGGACUCAUUUUGCAAUCCCUCUGGGUUACAUCUGUCUCAUGCCCAAGGAAGAGCCGAGGAGUGGAGCCUUCUGUUGUUCACUGGUACUCAUCCAUCCACACUAUUGAGAUCAGGUCUUCCCCAUAUGGGGGAAAGUAAACAACAGAGAGAAAACCCAAGAGCUUGGACCUUCUUUCCCCCCAGCAGACUAUGUACUGUAAUUAAGAACACAGCUUGGAGUCAGGCAGUUCUGGGUUUGAAUUUGGCUUUAUUUACUGUUGAUGUUAUCUUGAAUUAGUCACUUAGCUUGACCCAACCUGUUUUAGCAAAAUGGAGAUAAUCUGCUCAGUACAUAGAGCCCUUAGUGCAGAGCCCAGCAUAUGGUAGGUGCUCAGUGCUUGCAAAUCCCAAUCUCUUUGUUCCAGAGAUUGAUUUCGGCCUCCCUGACCCAGUGGAGGAGGGCAAGGGUUGGCCUAGAGGGGGACCCAAAGAUCCAGGGAGGCAUGUCCCUGAUUUCAUUUUUUCUUGAGCACCUACUUAGUGCCAGGCCCUGUGUGGGGCCUUAGGGUACCAGGGUGAACAAUUUGGUCCUGACUCCAAGCUGAAGGAAAGAGGAGACCCCCUGACCUAAAGUCUGGAGGUGGCUUGGUCCAGCUGGGUGCACUGGCCCUCUGCAGACUGAGAGCAAGGGCCUUGGCUGAGGUGGGAUGGCACGUAGGAAGAGUUGAUUUAACAGUGUCUUUCCCUGUUGCAGACCCCCCACCCAACCUGCCUUACUUUGUACGACGCUCUCGGAUGCACAACAUCCCCGUCUACAAGGACAUCACGCAUGGCAACCGGCAGAUGACUGUGAUCCGGAAAGUGGAAGGGGACAUCUGGGCCCUGCAGAAAGACGUGGAAGAUUUUCUGAGCCCGCUGCUGGGGAAGACACCUGUCACCCAGGUCAAUGAGGUGACAGGUACCCUACGGAUCAAGGGCUACUUUGACCAGGAGCUUAAAGCCUGGCUCUUGGAGAAAGGCUUCUGAGGCCCAGCCGAGCAGCCUGCUUGUCAGCAUGCCCUGUGGAUCAAGUCUAGGGGGCCUCAGGAGGAGGGAGGUGGGUGUUGGAGCCCCUGAGACAGGGGAUACAGAAACUAGGGCUAAAGGACUUUGGGGUCAGGCCUUGCUUGCAUAAAGGAGAAAACAACUCUAUGUACAUGCUGGGGGAGAGUGCCUAAUGUGGGAGACCAAAUAGGGAUCACCAGGCUAAUGGGGGGCGUCAGCAGCUUUCUCUCCCUCCUAUCUUGGCCUGUUCUUUUUUGUUUUUUGAGACGGAGUCUCACUCUGUUGCCCAGGGUGGAGUGCAGUGGCAUGAUCUUGGCUCACUGCAACUUCCACCUCUGGGAUCAAGGGAUUCUCCUGCCUCAGCCUCUUGAGUAGCUGGGAUUACAGGCGCCCACCACCACAGCCUGCUAAUUUUUGUAUUUUUAGUAGAGAUGGGGUUUCACCAUGUUGGCCAGGCUGGUCUCAAACUCCUGACUCGAAGUGAUCCGCCCACCUUGGCCUCCCAAAGCGUUGGGAUUAUAGGCAUGAGCCAUGUGCCUGGUCCACCUUGGCCUGUUUUGUUUUUCUUUCCUUGGGCUCAGCAAUUCAAAUUCUAGUUGUUAUUUGGUGGAAGCAGUAGCCCAACCCCAGUUUAGGGGAAGGUAGCACAGGGCAGAGCCACUGGGCACUUUGUUUCCUUGGCCCUCCGAAGCUCACUGUUGCAAAUACCCCCAAGCCUUUGCUCUAGGCCAGAUCUUGUUUGGUGCAGGUGAUGGAGAACACAGAUGACUCGGGCAUGGGUCUUGGAGAUCUUCUGUUCAAAGUACAGUGCUGGCACUGGGGCACAGAGUGCCCACGUUAGCCCCGGGCUCUGAUAGAGAGGUAGGAGGCACGUUCUUGGUCACUGUUCCAUUGCAGACCAGACUUGCUGGCCUGACCACAAGGGAGUGGCUGGGAACUCACAGCCAGCAUAGGGACAUCCCCCUGCAGCCUUCUGACCUGCAAUCAAGGCUGGGGAGGGGUUUGCAGGCAGGAAUAUGCUGACCUUUCACCCUGCCAUCCCAUCCCAACCCCAGCUCACUAGCCUUCAUAUAUGCCUUAUACUUGGAGUCACAGGGGCCAAAGGCCUGAGACCCCACCCUGCCCCCAAACUGGCUAAGACAGCUUUCAGUUCCUGACUCCCCAACUUGGUCUCUGCCCUGAAGCAGGGCACUGAACUCUGGGCUGCUUCUCUGUGUGUAAAAUGGGCACAUCUUCCUAAUCUGUUAAUGGUCAGUGGUGUCCCCAAGGAUAGUGCUGGCUUCCAUGGAAACCCUCACUCCUGGAGAUUCCAUUCCAUUUUCAAGUGUACAGCCACAGCAAGGAGCCCGACACUGAUUUGAUCGAUUCUGUGACACAAACCCCACCAAUUGUUAAUGCAAGUUUUUAUUUGGCUGUAUAUACAAUUUAAGCUAUUAAAAUUUGUACAAUAUUUACAAAUUAAAUAAUCAUCUG